rnacentral:rRNA from 1 species
CAGGGAGACAGGUGGUGGCAUGGUUGUCGUCAGCUCGUGUCGUGAGAUGUUGGUUAAGUCCCGCAACGAGCGCAACCUUACUCGUUAGUUGCUACCAUUAAGUUGAGCACUCUAGCGAGACUGCCCGGGUUAACCGGGAGGAAGGUGGGGAUGACGUCAAAUCAUCAUACCCCCUUAUGUCUAGGGCUACACACGUGCUACAAUGGUGAGGACAAAGAGACGCAAGACCGCGAGGUGGAGCAAAUCUCACAAACCUCAUCCCAGUUCGGAUUGCAGGCUGAAACUCGCCUGCAUGAAGCCGGAGUUGCUAGUAAUCGCGAAUCAGCAUGUCGCGGUGAAUACGUUCCCGGGCCUU